rnacentral:tRNA from 1 species
GUUUAAAUAGUUUAAUUAAAAUAUUGAUUUGUGGUGUCAAUGAUAAGAUAUAAUUCUUUUUAAACC